UUGACGUCGGCGGGGACGGCGACGUCGCCCCGCACGUACCGGGCGCGGCCGCCGGCGGCCUCGACGGCGGCCAGCCGUUCGGUGAUGGCGGCGUCGGC
rnacentral:tRNA from 1 species